rnacentral:rRNA from 1 species
CGGGACGGGUGAGUAAUGUCUGGGAAACUGCCCGAUGGAGGGGGAUAACUACUGGAAACGGUAGCUAAUACCGCAUAACGUCGCAAGACCAAAGAGGGGGACCUUCGGGCCUCUUGCCAUCGGAUGUGCCCAGAUGGGAUUAGCUAGUAGGUGGGGUAACGGCUCACCUAGGCGACGAUCCCUAGCUGGUCUGAGAGGAUGAUCAGCCACACUGGAACUGAGACACGGUCCAG